UACGGAGGGUGCGAGCGUUGUCCGGAAUCAUUGGGCGUAAAGGGCGCGUAGGUGGCGGGACAAGCGUGCGGUGAAAGCUCGGGGCUCAACCCCGCGUCGGCCGUGCGAACUGUUUUGCUUGAGCACUGUAGAGGCAGGCGGAAUUCCGGGUGUAGCGGUGGAAUGCGUAGAGAUCCGGAAGAACACCAACGGCGAAAGCACUCUGCUGGGCCGACACUGACACUGAGAGACGAAAGCUAGGGGAGCGAAUGGG
rnacentral:rRNA from 1 species